AGUGAACGCUGGCGGUAGGCCUAACACAUGCAAGUCGAACGGCAGCACAGUAAGAGCUUGCUCUUACGGGUGGCGAGUGGCGGACGGGUGAGGAAUACAUCGGAAUCUACUUUUUCGUGGGGGAUAACGUAGGGAAACUUACGCUAAUACCGCAUACGACCUACGGGUGAAAGCAGGGGAUCUUCGGACCUUGCGCGAUUGAAUGAGCCGAUGUCGGAUUAGCUAGUUGGCGGGGUAAAGGCCCACCAAGGCGACGAUCCGUAGCUGGUCUGAGAGGAUGAUCAGCCACACUGGAACUGAGACACGGUCCGGACUCCUACGGGAGGCAGCAGUGGGGAAUAUUGGACAAUGGGCGCAAGCCUGAUCCAGCCAUACCGCGUGGGUGAAGAAGGCCUUCGGGUUGUAAAGCCCUUUUGUUGGGAAAGAAAAGCGGCAGGUUAAUACCCCGCUGUUCUGACGGUACCCAAAGAAUAAGCACCGGCUAACUUCGUG
rnacentral:rRNA from 1 species